GGGGUUGUGGCUCAGUAGUAGAGUACUUGCCUACCAUGCAUGAGGCACUGGGUUUGAUCCUCAGCACCA
rnacentral:tRNA from 1 species